UGUCUGGGGGCCCCACUGCCUGGAGGGGCCCCCCAGAGGCACCUCACGUGACUCCCCAUUGCCCCCUGCCCAGCCCCAAGGCCCCUCAGCCACUUGCCCUGUUCGCCGUCUCUCCUGCUUGUUCUCCUGGCCGGCAAUCGAGCAGACAGGCUGCAAAGAGCUCCUUUUCUCCCGCCUCUCAGCUGAUCGGCGGGUGGGCGGGGCUUCCACGGAGGCCUGGUGUAGGCCUCUGUGAAGCCUGAACUCCAGUAGGGCCCAAGCCAGCCAGGAAGGAGGAGGCAGCCAGAGAGGCCUCCACUGUUCUCUGCAGCAGAAGACCCCUUGCUGCCAGAAUGAAGAUUGCUGAAUCACACAGGACAGGCUCUAGAAUACUCUAUUCAGUGCAUUUCCAAUAUAGGUCCUUACAGUUCUUCUGCAACAGAGACACAGAUGUGGUGAAGACAAUACCGUGAGUGCCCGGCCAGGCAAGGGUCCAUCUUCCCCGGGCCCUCUCCAGCCUUGCUACACCCCUCAUUCUGACUGAAGAAGCACUUGCGGAAGGACAUCAUGCUAGCACAGAGCUGUAGCGCUGACUACUUGCACUAAGUCUGAAGGGCAUGUGCUCAAGGGCAUUUAUUUUAAGAGUCACAAAUUCAUUCUGGGGCAACAUGAAAAUAUAUACACGUGAAAUAUGUAAAUGUAAUUUCUGUACUAGAAUACACAACGUGUUUUGGCAGAAGCAUGGCUUGAGCAACAGAUGCAACUGUGGCAGGUCUUUUAUUUUAAAUGGCACUGUUGUGCAGUUGUACAAUUGCACAAGUCCCUUUUUAGUGAAACACUGCAGUCUCCCUGCACUAGUACAACUUUGCUCGUCCUACAAACACUUCUUUAGUCAAGAUGUCAACCAGAGCAGCUAGCAACCCCUCUUGGCCUAUUAGGAUCCUUUGUGUAACUGGCCACAUUCGCAUUCCUUUGGACCCAGGGUUCCAUGCCCCUCCUCCCGCUCUCCUAUCCAAAUUCAGAUGUUCAUGUGAGCUGCAGUGUUCCCUCUAACAGGGACUCUCAGAUGUUGUUGACUACAACUCCCAGCAUCCCCAGCUGCAAUAGCCUUUGCUUGGGAUGAUGGGAGUUGUAGUCAGCAACAUCUGGGAAUCCCCAUUAGAGGGAGCACUGGUGAGUUGCCUCUCAGCAGUCAGCAAGACUGCAGAGAGGCCGGGGAGCCUGCUGUGCAGGGUUCCUUCUUGACAGAAGGACAGCCCACACAGCCAGUCAGGCCAGAGUUGAGGGAGAAGCUUCCUCCCUCAACUCCAGUUCCAGGGCCAGCAGCCCGCGGUUCCAAAUUUGGACAUACCACAGGUUGCUUGGAACCUCAGGUUGAGGCGACAAAACUGAAUUCAAUCCAAGGAGUCCCAAUCCUGGACCCUUGAUUUUGUCACUGCACCUGACUGCAGUUCCCCACAUUCGGACAUAACAACCAUGGAACUGCAGGCCUAUUCAACUGCGGUUCCGUGUUAUGUGCAGAUGUGGCCAUGACCUGAAUUGGGCCUUGGAGGCUGUAAUGGGCUGGAUGUGGGCUAGUAAAUUGAGAUUGAAUCCAGACAAGAUGGAGGUGCUGGAGGUGCUUUUGGUCAGUAGGAGAGCCAAUCAGGAUGAAAUGAUCCAACUAGUUCUAGAUGGGGUUGCACUCCCCUUGAGAGAGCAAGUGCACAGCUUGGGAGUACUGCUGGACCCAGCUCUACUUAUGGAUGCUCAGGAGGAGGCGGUGGCCAGAGGUGCUUUUCACAGCUUUGGCCAGUAUGCCAGCUGUGUCCCUUUCUCGAGAAGGCAGAGGCUGUAUUAUAAUUGAAGGAGUUAAACUGAAGCCAAACAAAUGCAUAGCUCAGCCUUUAAGGAAAAGGCUGUGGACUGAAGUAGUAAGCUAAAGCCUCUAAAUACUUUUCUUUUCUCAUGAGCCUGAGGCAGAAGCUGAAAGGAAUUGUUAGCUGUAUAAGGCCACUUACCCAUCACUUAGUAACACAAACAUCUUGUUGUACUAGAGUGCUUAGACUCAAACUAAUUUAGCUAAUUGACUGGUAUCAUCAUCAAGUUGACCUCACCACAGUACAAUGCAAAUGGCUAAAAACAUCUCCUUAAUGCUCCAUUCUCAAAGAUUUGUGCUGCUGUGUGUACAAUGCUGUGUCCUAAUGCCCACACUCAUUCAAAGUUACCAUCAGGAUGCCACCUUACCUGGUUGCCUGUGUCACCCUGUGGAGUCCAGCAGAGGACAUGGCUUCCCUCUUUUGGGGCUUCUUUCUUCCCCUGAAAGGAGCAGGGGUGAAAAGGUUCCAGGCUGGUCAGUUCCUGGUGGGGUUGAGCAGGCAAGGCAGGGAUAGCUACAGGGAACAGCUCCAAUGGGGCCACCAUGUUGGGCAUGACAGGAAGCAGGAAGUGAGACCAGAGAGGGGUUGGGACUUGGAGUAAGCUUUAAGCCCUGUCAGUUUUGUACUGGGGCAUUUAAAGUCAAGGCAGCCAAUGAUGAGGGCUACUCUUGAGCAUGGGAGUCAGAUGUUUCCUGGAGAGGGAACCGGCUGGCAGCAGUAAGACAGGAAGAGGACUGAGGUGAUGAAGUAACCUCCUCCCCAGGCCUACUCUGAGGCUGACCUUGUCUGUUCCCAUCCUGUAAUUCUGGAUUCAAGAAAGACCAGGAACCACCUUCUCCCCUUUGGAAUAUUACGUGUCACAUAUGCCAGUAUUUGUUGUUGCAGCAAGACUUAGGACAGAGCACCCCAUUACACAUGCAGCCUCAGGAGGAGCUGAUACUUUGUGGAGAAGCAGCAAGAGGAAUGAGCUGCUUAACACUUCCCUUGCCUGCCACUCUUCCACUUUAGCUCCUCCUUCUCCAGUUGCUUUUCAAAUGUGUGUUUAUCUCACAAAUCUCCCUGUAAUCCUGGGAGAGGAGGAGUGGCAAAAUAAAAGUGGCCAGUGGAAAAAGAGUGAUGCAACCCUUUCCCCGCCUUUCCCAUUUCUCCACUCCAAAUCCUGAAACUUCUUUUUAGAAGAAAAACCCAUGGUGGUCUUGUUACACACUUUUGUUUGUAAUAUGCAGUUCACCCUGGAUAGGACAGUAUGCAGGACUGAAUACCUCAAAAUUGAUUUCAAUAAUAAAUAGUUCUACACCAAGAAGAACUGAAUUCUACAAUGUGCAUAUAUUUUAAAAACUGUUCAAAUGUACAUAUGUAGUGACCAGCCACCCCUCCCCUAAAGAGUUAACUGGAAGUUAACCCUGUCCUGACUGACAGGCUGGUGAACUCCAGGGGUCAGCCAAUCAGCAGAGCAGGUGAGUGGGACCUAGAGAGCCAUUGGGAGAAAGAGAAGAGCUCUUUGUUAGAAGAAGCUGACUGGGAGUGGAGAAGAGGACAUGCAGCCAUAAAGGCUGGCUGCAGGAAAAUGUCCCUUCAGUGGGUCCCGGGGAAGCCAGGAAGGGAGGAGGCUUGAAUCCUCUACCAAGGUUUGGUGAGUUCAAGAAAAUGAAGCCAGGGCUUUUGGCUUUGGUGAGUUAGUCUAGGGAAAGGUCUGUUUAGUCAGAUUUCGUGUUGGACCUUCAGUUUCUUUUGUGUGUGUUUGGUAUAUCCCUGAUACUGUUCUAGGUGUGCUUUUGCUUUUUCAUACAUACAUGUUCUUUGCAACUGGGUAAAUACGAUUUUUAGAGUGUGCUGCACCAAGAUCAUCUGGGAUGCUUUUUGAAAUAUUCUUGUGACCUACUGAGUAUUUUUAAGUUGUGCAAAUAUUUAGACUCAAGAAAUGACUGGAUUGAGACAAGGUAAUAGUUUCAAAAUAAAACGAAGAAUUUAUUUGAGGGGGUGAUACAGAAAAGAGAAUUGUGUGACUAAAACAAUUACAAAUACAUUUCUAGAUAAAUCUACUAUUAUGAGGCAUUUUAGCUUAAUGUCUAACAAAGAUACAUUCCUAAGAAAACCAACUGCAAUGAGGCAUUUUAGCUUAAAGUCUAAUUGUGUAAGUUCCCAGGCAGGCAAGAGAAAGAGGCUUGCAAGAGAAAUAGGGGGUAGCUUAGAUUUAAGAAAGAGAUAGUUUGAGCCUAGUUGCCAGGCAAACAGCCACCUUCACCUGUUCUGGACAAUGGGGACUCAGGACUCUGGGGAGGGUUGUAGAGACACAUCCUCCAAGACAGCAUGAUUGGAAGCAGGUUUGCAGGGAUUAGUAGAGGGAGAGGUGCCCACGAGAAGGGUACCUCUGUGGAGCCAGCUUCCUACGGUGGCUAGGCAAGCUGGAUGAAUCGAGAGAAGGACCAAUCCGGAAAGUGGUAUGAAAAACUGGACACCCCCAGUUGCAAUGGUGCAGCAGAUUGCACAAGCUGCUAGUGAGUUCAAGCUCUUUGCAGGUUGCAAGAGAGCACAAGGAGUGCUCAGUGGAGUCCCAAGUACAGCGCACAAUGGAGUAUACAAGGAAGCACUUGUUGGAGUCCCAGGUAGCAAACCCAAGGGAACACACUGAUUCAUGGAAGUGGGAAUACUUAUAUCCCAAAACAUACCUUGGGGGCAAACUCCUACUGCCCUACUUGUCUGAUUAGAAGUGCUAGGAUGGACCUGCAUGGAAUGCAUUGUGUCUGAUUGCUCUUUCCUGGGUGUAACAAUGUGGGAAUCGCCUUUUAUGUGCAAGGCUGAUUGUGAUGAAAAUCAGAGUAUGCAGGUGCGCAAAAGAGUAUGCCUGCCUAGACGGGAUCUCUAGUAAUCCUUUCACUGAUUUCAAUAGAUAUACCUCUAGGUCUACGUCACUGACUCAUCUUCUUUGUGAUGGGGAGACCAUUGUUUCACUAUCUUAUUUAUUUUUCUUCCAGCUUGGCAUAAUUGGCCCGUUAGCGUGUUGUUAUCUCUUGUGAGAGGAUGAGCAUGGAUGAACAUGGGUGUCCAGAGGCAGUCCCCCCCCACUGCCUAAUUGAGACAGUUCCCAUUGCAGUUAAUGAGGCAUACUCCCAGAAGGCGAGUAUUGGAUAAAAGUAGUGUGUUAAUGAAUACAUUACUCUCAUGGCACAAGGGCAAGCAAUGUGUUUCCAAUCUUACAAAGCUCCCCUGGAGCAUGGGGAGCACUGUGAACUCUAAUAGUUCUUGCACAGCAUGACACAUGCAGGGGGGAAUGAGGGAGUUGCACGAGGGCUCCCAGCACAUCCCUGCAAUCUCUCAGUACACUUGUGCUUUGUUAGUCAGGAUGUCAGCCACACUUAGUGAGAUUUAAGCAUGUACUUCCCUCUUCUGCUGAAAUCAAGGAGACUUGCCAGUGUUUUUAUGGCAUCCCCCUUCCUUCCCUCCCUCUUUCCCUCUCUUCCCUGAAACAGGCAUUACAGAUCAUUCAUCUGCAAGGCAUGUGUCCAUUUUAUAAUUUUUGCAGGGUGCUGGAGUGAUUAAGCUCUUUCCCCCUGCUUUUUUAAUAUUGCCACCCUGAGAUCAAAAGUAGCUGGGAUUCACAACUGAGAAAUCUUUUAUAUACAUUAUGAGAAUUAGGAAAGAGAAACAUGUGGUUAUAUGGUCUAUCAUAUAGCUGUAUAUGAACCAGUCUGACAUGAAAGAAUCCCAGGAUGAAGGGUUCACAACCCUGAGCUGGACACAAGGGACUCCCGAGGGGAAGUGGUCAUGACCUUGAGCCUGGCUCUGACCAAGAAGACUCACAGGAUGAGGCAAGGGGCCUCAAUGGAAAUGCCAGCACCUGCUGAUCCCAUCAACACACCCUUGCCUGUGAGUUGGAGGAUGAACCAAAAGCACCCCAAUCCCCACCAGCAACUACCCAGCUACAUCGCAGCCAGUGCUUAAGAAGGAGGGUGCAGCCCCUUUAAGACCCUGCAGGCUCAAGUGGGGCUGCAGUGCUGCCUCUGUAUUCAGUGCCUCAGUUUGCCCCCACUAUUUCCUGAGGCAACUUUGUUGUGGAUGUGUGCUGCCAGCCUUGAUUCUGCUCCUGCUCCUGGUUUCCCUGGCUUCUGACCCUCUGCUUGUUUUUUGGCUUUUGACCCUGCUUGCUCCUAAGGAACUGAUCUUUGGCUUCUGACCCUUUGCCUGUUUGACUCUGACCUGCCUGCCCCUCCUGGACUGAUCUCUGGCUCCUGACCUCCUGCUGGUUUGACUUUGCCUUGCCUGCUCCCACAGUGUGUUUCCUGCCACACCUGACCCAGCCAGUGCCAAGUGUGCAGCUGAUCUUCCGAAAAAUGUGUUCUCAUGGAGCAGUUGAGCUCUGGCAAGAGCUCCACCAGGCUCAACAAAUCUUCUUUAUUAUCGCAAAGCUUAUUUAAGAUCCCGAGGAACCCUGUGGAAGAGCAGCAUAUGUAUAAUAAUUAUGAAAAUUAUGCAAAUACUACAGGACCUGGUGGCUCCUACAAGAAUGAAAGGACUUGUCUUAUCAACAUUCCACUACAAUGACUACAAGAAGAUCUAGUAAGAACUGUUCUGCUUACUUUCCUUUCACUAUAAUCAUGAUUGAUAUUUAUCAUCUUCACAAGUUAGGCUGCUACCACCUGAAAUGUUAAUGCAUCUGCAAUCUUGAAUUGGAGUGGAUGACAUCACAAACUAUGUUACUGAAGGGUCCCUACAACAGUACCAAAUUUGGUCCAAAUUGAUUAGACAAUUCACAACUUAGCCCACUUGCGCUUCAAAUGUUCAUCCACCAUCUUGAAUUGGGGUGGACAACAUCUUUACAAACUAUUAGGGAUGUGCACGGAACCUGUGCCUGGCACACGCAGUCACAUCAGAUACUUCCAGUUACUUCUGGUAAAGGUGGCAACAGGGCGGCAGGGGGGUACGCUGCUGCCCUGAUGGAUUUUGGAAAAACAGCUCCAGCCAGGAGGAAGCGGAGGGAGGGGUAAGUGCAACCUCCUCCGCCCUUAAAGCAGUACCGCCCACAAACACACUUUUGAACUGGCAGAACUGCCUGCCAUUUGAACCGGUUCCAUGCACAUACCUACAAGAGGGGCACAAACACAGCAAGCCGAGUGAUCUCAUAAGCUUACUUUACCACCUAGAGAUGUACAUAUCAGGCAAUAAAGAAAUAUGAUAAAUAAAUAAAGGAAAAUAGGCUAAAAAUGAUGGGAGAUUUAUUUAUAUAUAUAGUCUGGGACCUAAAAGACAGUAGCAGAGGUGCCAAGUGAUCCUUCCUGGGCUCCUUUCUCUUCUAGUGUUGUGAAGUCUAAUGAAUGCAAUACUUAAAUAUCAAAUCAAAUAUUAGAGGUCCUGAAACUAGGUUUUAAUGUGGACACAUAACCUGCACAAUGGCUGCAGAUGUCUCUCUUCCCUCCCCCAUUAAUGGCUCUCCAUUUUGCAGACUCUUGCCCAUCAAAUGCCCCUGGUGGCCUCAUCCAAGGAAGCCUGAUCUAGAUUACACAUUGAUUUUGCUUCAAAGUGGAACCUUUUUGCCCUGUAAUCUCCAAUGUCAUGCAGGCUGUUUGAAUAAAGGGGUUUCAAGUGCAAUUAGAAGGAGCAUAUUUCACACCAAACUCUUGAAAGGGAAAUGGAGGAGGUGUUGAUAACCUUCCAAAAUUGAGUGCAAUAUAUUCCUUCUGCUGAGACUCAAAGUAUUUUUUUAUUUUAUUUUUUUCUUUCAUCUGGCUGCCUUUCAUAUGGGGAUUUCUGUUGAGGUUACUCCAUGUUGGGCCUUGGGUGAGCAGCAGCUUAGCAAGGUCACAGUACACUGAAGAGGAACAUAGCAGCAUAGGAACAUAGGAAGCUGCCAUAUACUGAGGUGCUUCAAAUGACAUGUGUGAAGCACCUGAUGGCGUUCUGCAAAGAGAGUGGGCUUAGCCCACACAUCACAGAGCCAGCAGGGGCUGCAGGGAUCAGGGGCCACACUGCCACCAGAAGUUCCAGGAUGUCCCACGCAAGCAUGUGGGGCAUACUGGAGAGACCCCCAAUCCCAGGAGGCUACUUGCAGCCUCCCAGUCGGGGUUCUACUCGUGUGUUGCCACACGUGCCAUGAUGACACACAAGCAAAGAAAUGAGGUUAACGGAGCACUUGCUCUGUUAACCUCAUUUAAGAGGAGGGUGUUCUAGGUGGGCUAGCCGCCAUGGGAGCACUGUACUCGUUCGCAAGCCUGGUGGUUCCCACGCUCCAUGGAGAGCAGGCUAAGCUCCCUUAGCCCACUUUCCGUUGAUCAUGGGAAUAGCCAUUGGUCUAUAGCUCAGUAUUGUCUUCACAGACAGGCAGCAGCUUCUCCAAGGUUGCAGGCAGGAAUUUCUCUCAGACCUAUCUUGAAGAAGCCAGGGAGGGCACUUGAAACCUUCUGCUCUUCCCAGAGCAGCUCCAUCCCCUAAGUGGAAUAUCUUAUGGUGCUCACACUUCUAGUCUCCCAUUCAUAUGCAACCAGGGUGGACCCUGCUUAGCUAAGAGAACAAGUCACACUUGUUACCACAAGACCAAAUCUCCUCUCCUAAGCAGCAUGAGUCCAUACAGAAAAAGGAUCAAUAGACCAGAGCCUGGCUAUUUUUUAAAUUUGCCAUAACAAUUGUUCUCUGAGCAGCUUCAUACUUGAU